rnacentral:lncRNA from 1 species
GCCUGUUGCCCUUUCAAUCUACUCAAUUAUUCAUAAAGCGCCUGUAACCCUAGCACUACUUAUUUCCCAUGAUCUACCAGAAAAUGACCUUUCCAUUCACUCUUUAUUAUUUUUGUCUCUGAAUUUUGAAAUCACACCAAGAUUUGGAGAUGACAGGAAUCAUAAAUAUUGUUACCAAACAAAAUUUUGUUUUCACAUUGUAAAUUUUUACUCAAUUUGUCUGAUUCGAAAAUCAGAUAGAUUUCCGAUAUUAUUAGAUUUAGUUUGUACAUGUGCUUUUACGCUAAAGCCAUAAAUGGGAUCCCGAUAAUAAUUUUAUAAGUAAAGUUUAUUUGGAAAUAUAGUAUAUUCCUAAUGAUCCGAAAGUUGUUAGUACUUUUUUUCAUAAAGUAAAUAAUUUUUUAAUCUCCCUACAUUGCAAGAUACAAAAUAUACCAUCAAUUGAAUUAUUAAUCCAAUGACAUUAUGUUCUAAUCAUUGUUCGAUAAAAGUUUUUUUCUCAUGAAUUCUCUAAUUUUCAAAAUAUUAUAUAUAGUUUUUGUUUUUUUUUAAUGGGAAAAAAAAAAGACAAUAUGGGGCAACGGGCAUGUUUUGUUGGGCAAGGAAAGGGUUAGAGGUGCACAUCAUGUAAGGUCAGGUAGAAGACAGUGAGUAUUCUUCUAGUGAGUAUUGUUUUUAGGAUAUUGCCAAAUUUUUCUGGGUCUAGUAUAUUAGUUAAUGCAAUUUGUUGGCUUUUUUUCAUGUGAGGUAUAUUUGGUGCAGGCUAAGGAAAGGUUUUGCCGUUUGGCAGAAUGCAAACGGUGCAGUUUUAUUGGCAAAUCUGGCGGCUUCUCUGCUCUUCCAGCUUAGAAAGGGGACCAUCUGAUUUUAUUGAUCACGGCCAUUGGAAAACUGUCUUUUGCAUUCUUGGAAAUUGGGUCCGUCUGAUCUUAAGACCUUAUUAAUAGAUCAAUUAAAUACUUACUACUAGUUCUGUUCCUUUAUGGAUUAAUUGGCCGGUCCAAUAGGAGUGAUUAUAAGCCCAGAUAAUUGGAUGUAUCAUCUUAUUAAUACAGUGGAGUGGUCCGUUUACUGUUGAGCCCAAUGACUACUUGCAGGGGAGACUCAGCCGUGGAAGGUGCACAAAUGGCGUUUCCAAUUAACCAUUAUAUACAUAAAUGACUAAGGCUAGGGCUAGGACCGUAUUCUGUAAUAACUUUUUAAAUAGUUUUUAACUCUAAAUGUUAUUAAAAGGUAUUUUUUUAUAAUUUUUAUUGUGUUUGAUAAUAU